GAUCAUGGCUCAGGAUGAACGCUGGCGGCGUGCCUAAUACAUGCAAGUCGAACGAGGUAGCAAUACCGAGUGGCGAACGGGUGAGUAACACGUAGGUAACCUGCCCUUAAGCUUGGGAUACCCAGAGGAAACUUUGGCUAAUACCGGAUAACAACAGAGAAGGCAUCUUCUUUGCUUGAAAGGCCCCUUCAAGGGUCACUUAAGGAUGGACCUGCGGCGCAUUAGCUAGUUGGUGAGAUAACAGCCCACCAAGGCGAGGAUGCGUAGCCGAACUGAGAGGUUGAUCGGCCACAUUGGAACUGAGACACGGUCCAAACUCCUACGGGAGGCAGCAGUAAGGAGUUUUCGGCAAUGGGGGAAACCCUGACCGAGCAACGCCGCGUGAGCGAUGACGGUCCUUUGGAUUGUUAAAAAGCUCUGUUGUAAGCCAUGAAUGACAGCUUGAGGAAAUGCAAGUUGUUUGACGACAGCUUACCAGAAAGCCACGGCUAACUACGUGCCAGCAGCUGC
rnacentral:rRNA from 1 species